rnacentral:rRNA from 1 species
AUUGAACGCUGGCGGCAGGCUUAACACAUGCAAGUCGAGCGGGGUGAUGGUGCUUGCACUAUCACUUAGCGGCGGACGGGUGAGUAAUGCUUAGGAAUCUGCCUAUUAGUGGGGGACAACAUCUCGAAAGGGAUGCUAAUACUGCAUACGUCCUACGAGAGAAAGCAGGGGAUCACUUGUGACCUUGCGCUAAUAGAUGAGCCUAAGUCGGAUUAGCUAGUUGGUGGGGUAAAGGCCUACCAAGGCGACGAUCUGUAGCGGGUCUGAGAGGAUGAUCCGCCACACUGGGACUGAGACACGGCCCAGACUCCUACGGGAGGCAGCAGUGGGGAAUAUUGGACAAUGGGGGGAACCCUGAUCCAGCCAUGCCGCGUGUGUGAAGAAGGCCUUAUGGUUGUAAAGCACUUUAAGCGAGGAGGAGGCUCUUUUGGUUAAUACCCAAGAUGAGUGGACGUUACUCGCAGAAUAAGCACCGGCUAACUCUGUGCCAGCAGCCGCAGUAA